ensembl:lncRNA
GAUCUAUCUAUUUAUCUAGCUAUCUAUAUAUUUAUCUAUCUAUGAUCCUAUAUAUCUAAUAUAUUUUUAUAAUUUAACGCUUUAAACAAUUCAAAUAAUGUUAUAUAAAAAAGAAAAAAAGUAAUAAAUGAAAUGUACGAAAUGUACGAAAUGUACGAAAUGUACGAAAUAUACGAAAUAUACGAAAUAAAAUUAUGAAUUAACAAAAAACAGUUUAUUUAAAAAAAAAAUAGAAAAUAAAUUAAGAGAAAAAUUAACAAAGUAAAUGAAAAAAAAUUAAUUAAAUACGAUUUUUUUUUUUUUUUUUUUUUAACUCAUAUAUUAGUGAUCAUUUGUAAUAUUGUUUACUGCUUUUAUUAAUUUAUGUAUGUAUGUGCUUAUAUAAACCCCAUCCCCUUUUUUUUUUUUUUUUUUUUCAUCCCUCGCUUUUGUUAUGACCGCAUAACAAAAACAAUAUGAUAAUUUCUGCAUUACUUCGAAACCUAGAAAUACAUGAAAACGUAAACAAAAAUUAUGCAGAAGGUCGAGUAAUAAAAUGUUAUAAUAUACCACCUACUGUUAAUGAAGGUAUCUUCAAGUUUAUACUUUUAUUUUUAAAUAACAAAUCUUAUGAAAUAAAAAAAGUAAUUCGUCCAAUAUGUGAAGAAACGAAAGUAUAUCCAUGGAAAAUAAUAUGUAAUGAUGAAUUAGCAAGCUUUUUAUUAAAAGUAAAAAAAAUUAUUAUUUAUGAUUAUUCAAAAGAAAAAAAAAAAAUUUUUGUAAAACUGGAAAAAAAUUGUGCUUAUAAUGAACAGGAGGGACAGAAUAAUGGGUCUUGUGAAUUUUAUCAUGAUAAGUGCAUAAACAGUGAAGGAAAAAAGGGAGGAAAAAAGGGAGGAGAAAUGGAAGGCACAAAAGAAGGCACAAAAGAAGGCACAAAAGAAGGCACAAAAGAAGGCACAAAAGAAGGCACAAAAGAAGGCACAAAAGAAAGCACAAAUGAAAGCACAAAAGAAGGCACAAAUGAAAGCACAAAUGAAAGCACAAAAGAAGGCAUAAAAGAAGACCUAUCAUAUCAUAACUUUUAUAACCACAAUAAAAAUAAAACUUUAAUCAGUGAAGAACAAAAUUUGAAUGUAGGAUUGAGAUUAAAUUAUGAUUCGAACUUAGCUUUUAAUGCUAGCCACAACUCUGCUUCGAGUUUAAACGAUAGAGGAGUAAGUAGACAUAGUAUUAUAAAUAAAGAAGAGGGUCAUAAAAAAUUAAGUAAACGUUUUAUUUUAUUGGAUAAUAACGAAAAGAGUAAAUAUAAUGAAUAUACAGAACAUGAUAUAAAACCAGAACAAGGGUUUGAGUUUAAAAACGAUGAUAAUAAGUUUUAUGAUAAAAAAGAAGAAUAUUAUAGUAGUUAUAUUGUACAUCCAGAUGAAGUGGAAUAUUGUGCAUGUCUGGAAGUGGACAGUGAAAACUGUUGUGACACAAGUUGUUAUGAGUUAAGUCACGACGACUUUAGUCACGAUGACUUUAGUCACGACGAUUAUACUCACGACGGUUAUACUCACGAUGGUUAUACCCACGACGGUUAUACUCACGACGGUUAUACUCACGACGGUUACACUCACGAUGAUUUAAAUCAAGGUGAACAAGAAAAUGCGAACACGAAAACAGUUUAUAGGAAAAAUACAUACUGUUUUAGUAAUAGUAAUAGCAUUAACGAAUUCAAAGAAAAAAUUGAUGUAAAAAGUGAAAAUAGAACUCACAACAAUAUAAAUAAUAAAAGUUUUUUUUUAUCUUCUCGUCCUUACGCUCAGUCAUUUGAUCAUUCUAUGUGUCCUUCACCAAAUCGAAAUAUGGAAUGUUUAAAUAAAACAAAUACGAAUGUAGAAUAUGUUGUAAAAAAUAAUGAAAUUAAUGUUAAUAAAAAAAAAAAUGAUAAUUGUAAUAAACAGAUUAAUAGUUGGAAUGUAAAUUCAAAUGUGAACAAGUAUAGUUACGAUAGUGUAACAACCAUCAAUAAAGAAAGAAGUUUAGAUAAAAACACUUCACUCAGUGAAAAUAGAAAAAGGAAUUAUAAAAUUUUGGAUAAAAAUGAAAUGUCGACUAGCACGAACAUAGAAACGGAUUUACACUUAGAUGUAGAUAUUGAAUAUGGACAUACAAAUAACAUGCUAGCCUUAAUUUUGAACAGCAAAGAAUAUACAAUUUUAAAAAAGCUAAAAAAGAGAAAAAAGAUUAAAGGAAGUCAAAAUGUUAGUACUGAUAACAACAUAAGUGGUAACAACAUAAGUGGUAACAACAUAAGUGGUAAUAAUAUAAGUGGUAAUAAUAUAAGUGGUAAUAAUAUAUGUGUUAGUAACAAUAGUAGUAUUAGUAGUAUUAUUGGUAACAAUAUUUGCAGAAGCAACAAAAUUUGCAUUUAUUUUUAUGAGGGAGAUUUACAAGAAGUUAUUGAAAAUAUACAAGAAGAAGAUGUUAAUAAAUUAAUUAACGAUAUAGUGGAAAACAAAAAUGAAUGUUACAAUUUUUAUAAUAGUAUUAUUACAUUCAGUAAUUGUAUGGAUAAUAAUAUAGAGGAAAAUUUUGUUUUAUGUAAAGAACAAAUAAAAAUGUCUCCAUCUUCCAGUAAUAGCAAAAUGGAUUGCGAGUUCGAAAAUUUGAAAAACAAAAUUGAUAAAGAGGAAGUGGGGGUAAAGGGAAAGAAAAAAAAAAAAAAAAAAAAUAAAAAAAAAAAAAUAAAUGAAAUAAAUAAAACAAACGAAAAAGAUGUUAGUGAAAAGGGCGUUAGUGAAAAGGGCGUUAGUGAAAAGGGCGUNNNNNNNNNNAGUGAAAAGGGCGUUAGUGAAAAGGGCGUUAGUGAAAAGGGCGUUAGCGAAAAAGACGUUAACGAAAAAGAAGCUAACCAAAAAGAAGCUAACCAAAAAGAAGCUAGCCAAAAAGAAGCUAACCAAAAAGAAGCUAGCCAAAAAGAGUAUACUAUGCAGUGUAUAGUAAAAGAACAAAAUAAUAAUGAAGAAAAAAAAAAAAAAAAAAAUUUAAAAAAAAACAAUUGUUACUCAGAAAAUACAAAACAUAGAUACUCUAGCGAAUUAAACUCAUACAAAGGGAAAAAACAAUUUAA